rnacentral:rRNA from 1 species
AACGAACGCUGGCGGCAGGCUUAACACAUGCAAGUCGAACGCCCCGCAAGGGGAGUGGCAGACGGGAGAGUAACGCGUGGGAAUCUACCUAGUUCUACGGAACAACUGAGGGAAACUUCAGCUAAUACCGUAUACGCCCUAAGGGGGAAAGAUUUAUCGGAAUUAGAUGAGCCCGCGUUGGAUUAGCUAGUUGGUGGGGUAAUGGCCUACCAAGGCGACGAUCUAUAGCUGGUCUGAGAGGAUGAUCAGCCACACUGGGACUGAGACACGGCCCAGACUCCUACGGGAGGCAGCAGUGGGGAAUAUUGGACAAUGGGCGCAAGCCUGAUCCAGCCAUGCCGCGUGAGUGAUGAAGGCCUUAGGGUUGUAAAGCUCUUUCAGUGGGGACGAUAAUGACGGUACCCACAGAAGAAGCCCCGGCUAACUUCGUGCCAGCAGCCGCCGCCGUAA